rnacentral:rRNA from 1 species
GGACUGUAGGCUGCAACUCGCCUACACGAAGUCGGAAUCGCUAGUAAUCGCGGAUCAGCAUGCCGCGGUGAGUGCGUUCCCGGGCCUUGUACACACCGCCCGUCACACCAUGGGAGUUUGUAACGCCCAAAGUCGGUGGCCUAACCUUUAUGGAGGGAGCCGCCUAAGGCGGGACAGAUGACUGGGGUGAAGUCGUAACAAGGUAAC